CAGCUUUUUAGAGCCCGUUUAUUCUGCUGUGUAGCGAGAGAACCAUGAGUGCAGGGUUGCUAAUAGCAGGUCAGGUUUUUAGAGCCCAUGUAUUCUGAUGUACAGUAUAGAGAGAGGAGUGGCACAUUGCUUUCUGUGAGUUGGAAAAUUCAACAACUGGACGUUUUUGCGAAAGGAUUGUCAGCGAUAAGACAGGAGUCCAAUACAGAACAGAUUUAAAAUAGCUGAACUUCCAGUUAUAUGGAUUCCAGGCAGGAAGGGGAGUGUCCAGGAGGGCAGACGAUGAAACAGCCAUCAGUCUUCCAUUCUGCAGUGGGAGCAAGAGAGAAGGCAUGAGAACACAGCGCCAUUCCAGGGUUCACCUCUGAGUCUUAAACAGGAUGGAGUCUGAUAUGUCAUCAUUUAACACACACAGUGAUCACUCUUCUGUGGUACUCUGUGGGAGUCUAAGUAUGCUGCAGCCACCUGACAUGCUGGGAGGAGGUAGAGAAGGAGGGGUUUUUUGAGACGUGUCCGUGUCUUCUAGGAGUGCGUUCAGCCCCCCUGCUCACAGUGGUUAAAUUACAUACAUCAGAAAAGUGGCGUUUUAAAGAGUCAAAAUGGUGGACAGAUGUGAGUUGGCAGGAGAUGACGUCAUUGCUGUCAGACGGAAGCAACAUCAUCUUUGGAAGCCGGAAUUGAUGUGAAACUGGAAGUGACAUCAUGGCGAGAGCACCAGAAGUGGCAUGGUCCUUGGGAGUCAGAGGAGGAAGUGACGGUUGGAUGCCAUCUUGGGAACCCGGAAGUAUGGAUGAGGGAGAGAAAGAGAGAGAAGCGUUAGUACCGUUUAUCAACCCCUUGUCUCGCGAUAUUUGACUCGCCUCCAGGCUUGAGGACUGCCUCCUAAGCAUGCGUAUGUGACAAUACGUACUCAUUUAUUCUCAUCUAAUGUCUUGGGAACGUAAUAUUUUACUUAGU